rnacentral:rRNA from 1 species
CUACGGGUUGCAGCAGUGAGGAAUAUUGCACAAUGGGGGGAACCCUGAUGCAGCAACGCCGCGUGGAGGAUGACGCAUUUCGGUGUGUAAACUCCUUUUAUAUGUCAAGAAAAUGACGGUAGCAUAUGAAUAACCACCGGCUAACUCCGUGCCAGCAGCCGCGGUAAUACGGAGGGUGCAAGCGUUACUCGGAAUCACUGGGCGUAAGGACGCGUAGGCGGGUUGGAAAGUCAGGUGUGAAAUCCUACAGCUUAACUGUAGAACUGCACUUGAAACUUCUAAUCUAGAGUAUGGGAGGGGGAGAUGGAAUUAGUGGUGUAGGGGUAAAAUCCGUAGAUAUCACUAGGAAUACCUAAAGCGAAGGCGAUCUCCUGGAACAUUACUGACGCUAAGGCGUGAAAGCGUGGGGAGCAAACAGGAUUAGAUACCCUCGUAGUC